GCCGCCUGGGAGUUGUAGUCUCCAGCUGCGCGGCCUCUAGGCUGUCCCCUAGCCCUCGGGGCCCGGCUGCCAGCCUCGGGCCACAGUGAGGACCCCGCGGGGCCGAAGGAUUCCUCCCGGGGAGAUAAGCCUGGCCUCGGACCCUGGGACCCGGUGGGCCGGACGCCUGGAGGAGGAAAAGAGGGGACCAAGCGCUCCUCACAGACCCUGCGGGUCCGCGGCUCAAGGGGGUUGGCAAUGUUUCAGAGGCUGCCUGUGAAUGAAGAAACUGGGUCCAUGGACAAAGAUGUGGAAAACAGCCCAGCCAACCUGUGUUGAACAAAGAGACACAAAUCAUCUGCAACUGUCAGAAACAAAAGAAUGGUGGAACCUCUGAGGUAAACUCCUCCCUCCACCUGGGCUCUGACUUUGAGAGAGGCAAUGUCCACAAUAGCCAAACUGUGGAAGGAGCCUCGGUGUCCAU